GACAGAGGGUGCAAACGUUGCUCGGAAUCACUGGGCGUAAAGGGCGUGUAGGCGGGAAGGAAAGUCAGAUGUGAAAUCCCCAGGCUCAACCUGGGAACUGCAUUUGAAACUCCCUUUCUUGAGUACCGGAGAGGAAAGUGGAAUUCCUGGUGUAGCGGUGAAAUGCGCAGAUAUCAGGAGGAACACCGGUGGCGAAGGCGGGUCUCUGGGCAACAACUGACGCUGAGGAGCGAAAGCGUGGGGAGCGAACAGG
rnacentral:rRNA from 1 species